rnacentral:rRNA from 1 species
CCAGCAGGUUAAUCUGGGCACUCUAAAGAAACUGCCCGUGAUAAGCGGGAGGAAGGUGUGGAUGACGUCAAGUCCUCAUGGCCCUUACGGGUUGGGCUACACACGUGCUACAAUGGCAGAGACAAUGGGUUAAUCCCCAAAAACUGUCUCAGUUCGGAUUGGGGUCUGCAACUCGACCCCAUGAAGUCGGAAUCGCUAGUAAUCGCGUAACAGCAUGGCGCGGUGAAUACGUUCCCGGGCCUUGUACACACCGCCCGUCACACCAUGGGAGUUGGUUCUACCCGACGACGCUGCGCUAACCUUCGGGGGGCAGGCGGCCACGGUAGGAUCAGCGACUGGGGUGAAGUCGUAACAAGGUAGCCGUA